UGGCAUCAGCCAGUGUCCUCUCAUGAGGAAGAAUCAAUUUGCAAGGUAUUGAGUAAGUCCUUGGGCUCUGCGGAGGAGAGGUGACCACCCAUGAAAACAACUGACAUGAAAAGAACGCAAGAAUCACAUGUGUCCCUCCAGUCUGAAUAUAGACCAGCACAACUUGGGACUUGGACAACAAAAGCCUUGGACCACAAGGACUUCAGAUACCUGGAAAAACAUGGGGAGAGCAUGGGGCCAGCUGCUAGGCUGUCUUCUCUGAGAUUCUGACACAAUUAUAGUUCUGUUACAAAAAUUAGGAAAAUACUGAAAAAUCUAUAGGAUUGUUCUUCUAAGCAGGUAAGUCUAUUUCCCUCUUUUGUCAUGCAGGAAUGUUGCCUCCCAAAUUA
rnacentral:lncRNA from 13 species